rnacentral:rRNA from 1 species
AAGAAGAGUGGCGAACGGGUGAGUAACACGUGGGUAACCUGCCCAUCAGAAGGGGAUAACACUUGGAAACAGGUGCUAAUACCGUAUAACAAUCGAAACCGCAUGGUUUUGAUUUGAAAGGCGCUUUCGGGUGUCGCUGAUGGAUGGACCCGCGGUGCAUUAGCUAGUUGGUGAGGUAACGGCUCACCAAGGCCACGAUGCAUAGCCGACCUGAGAGGGUGAUCGGCCACAUUGGGACUGAGACACGGCCCAAACUCCUACGGGAGGCAGCAGUAGGGAAUCUUCGGCAAUGGACGAAAGUCUGACCGAGCAACGCCGCGUGAGUGAAGAAGGUUUUCGGAUCGUAAAACUCUGUUGUUAGAGAAGAACAAGGAUGAGAGUAACUGUUCAUCCCUUGACGGUAUCUAACCAGAAAGCCACGGCUAACUACGUGCCAGCAGCCGCGGUAAUACGUAGGUGGCAAGCGUUGUCCGGAUUUAUUGGGCGUAAAGCGAGCGCAGGCGGUUUCUUAAGUCUGAUGUGAAAGCCCCCGGCUCAACCGGGGAGGGUCAUUGGAAACUGGGAGACUUGAGUGCAGAAGAGGAGAGUGGAAUUCCAUGUGUAGCGGUGAAAUGCGUAGAUAUAUGGAGGAACACCAGUGGCGAAGGCGGCUCUCUGGUCUGUAACUGACGCUGAGGCUCGAAAGCGUGGGGAGCAAACAGGAUUAGAUACCCUGGUAGUCCACGCCGUAAACGAUGAGUGCUAAGUGUUGGAGGGUUUCCGCCCUUCAGUGCUGCAGCUAACGCAUUAAGCACUCCGCCUGGGGAGUACGACCGCAAGGUUGAAACUCAAAGGAAUUGACGGGGGCCCGCACAAGCGGUGGAGCAUGUGGUUUAAUUCGAAGCAACGCGAAGAACCUUACCAGGUCUUGACAUCCUUUGACCACUCUAGAGAUAGAGCUUCCCCUUCGGGGGCAAAGUGACAGGUGGUGCAUGGUUGUCGUCAGCUCGUGUCGUGAGAUGUUGGGUUAAGUCCCGCAACGAGCGCAACCCUUAUUGUUAGUUGCCAUCAUUUAGUUGGGCACUCUAGCAAGACUGCCGGU